AUGCAUUCAUGCACCCAUGAGCAUUAUUUAAACGUUUUUUCAAGGAACUUAAGGUUGACUUUUGCAAAUACCUUAGGUACUCUUUUGACCAUGGAUUUUGGAAUGAGAAAGACUCAGAAGUAUAGUUUCAAGGAUCCUAAGAUAGAGGAACUGAUGAGUUUGAUUCCUGAGAUUGAGAGUUCUACAAAUUUCUUGAAGAAGUAUAGAGUCGUUGUGCCUUUUAUGAAGCUCAAGAUGAAGGAGGGUAUUCUUUCCACAUUGGUCCAGUUUUAUGAUCCUUUAUAUCAGUGUUUUACUUUUCCUGAUUAUCACUUGAUGCCCACAUUGGAGAAGUAUUCUUUCUUACUUUGUUUACCUAUUACUAAUCGUGUUCCUUUCACCGGGUUAGAAGGAGAGAACAAUUCUCAUUAUAUUUCCACCAUAACUCACUUGAGGAAG